rnacentral:miRNA from 1 species
ACCAUCACCCUGGUUUGCCUGGGACUGAGGGGUUUCCCACAAUUUGGGACUUUUAGCACCCAAACUAGGAAAGU